rnacentral:rRNA from 1 species
UACGUAGGUCCCGAGCGUUGUCCGGAUUUAUUGGGCGUAAAGCGAGCGCAGGUGGUUUAUUAAGUCUGGUGUAAAAGGCAGUGGCUCAACCAUUGUAUGCAUUGGAAACUGGUAGACUUGAGUGCCGGAGAGGCAGGCGGAAUUCCUAGUGUAGCGGUGAAAUGCGUAGAUAUUAGGAGGAACACCAGUGGCGAAGGCGGCCUGCUGGACGGUGACUGACGCUGAGGCUCGAAAGCGUGGGGAGCAAACAGG